AAACCUUAUUGAUUUGACGGUAAUUAUUUCAUAGAUGGUCAUGUAAUUAAAUCGAUAUUACACGAACUAUCUCACUUACAUUUAUCCUGUAUACCUCCGUUUAGAUUUUGUUUAUGAUAUUUAAUCCUCUAAAUAAAUUUGUUAAAAUUUCAGGUCAAGGUGCAGUUUAUGUAAGUAAUUAUGUGACACAAUAAAUUAAAAUUGUGGAUUUAAUCUGAAAAGAUUAAUCAAAAUGAAUUUAUAAGUAAGAUAAAAUAAAAUAUUUUUCUUAAACUAAAUAAUUAUGUACACAU
rnacentral:rRNA from 1 species